GACGAACGCUGGCGGCGUGCCUAAUACAUGCAAGUCGAGCGCAGGAAACUGACGGAACUCUUCGGAGGGAAGGCAGUGGAAUGAGCGGCGGACGGGUGAGUAACACGUAAGGAACCUGCCUCAAGGAUUGGGAUAACUCCGAGAAAUCGGAGCUAAUACCGGAUAGUUCAUCGGACCGCAUGGUCCGUUGAUGAAAGGCGCUUCGGCGUCACCUUGAGAUGGCCUUGCGGUGCAUUAGCUAGUUGGUGGGGUAAUGGCCCACCAAGGCGACGAUGCAUAGCCGACCUGAGAGGGUGAUCGGCCACACUGGGACUGAGACACGGCCCAGACUCCUACGGGAGGCAGCAGUAGGGAAUCUUCCACAAUGGACGAAAGUCUGAUGGAGCAACGCCGCGUGAGUGAUGAAGGUUUUCGGAUCGUAAAACUCUGUUGUAAGGGAAGAACACGUACGAGAGGGAAUGCUCGUACCUUGACGGUACCUUACGAGAAAGCCACGGCUAACUACGUGCCAGCCGCCGCCGUAAGAC
rnacentral:rRNA from 1 species